GCCAGCAUCCCCGGGACUCGCAGCCCUCCUCUCGGGUCCCUGCCAUGGGACUGGGACAGACAGAUCGCUGGGAACGGGAUCGAACAAAUGCCGGCAGCUGGUACUCACUGCAGACACAGAAGGACUGCUUUUGGCCAGCACUGGUGAAGACAGAGGAGAGAAAGACUCCCUUGUCCCGUAUGUCAUUCAAGCAUGGCUGGUAGGAGACAGCGACAGCUUUAUCGGUGAUUCUUUUUGCAUCCAUGGCAAACACAACAUCCUUUUUGGGUAUGAGAUGCACCCCGCCCACUUACACACCUGUUCCUCCCCGUCCUCCUCCAGCCUUUCUCGCAGAGCACACUGGAAAAUGCUCUUUUAGAGGAAUUAGUUUCUUCAAAGAUAAUUCAUUCAGAAGAAUCCAGAAAGGAAACAAGCGUUCUCCUUCCUCACUCCAGAAUAUCCUGAAAUAAGAGGGAACACCCUCUAUUUUACCUUCAGUGAAGUCAAGCAAUACACACCGAUGAUAUCAACAGGUAAUAUAAUUCAAUGUAAUCCAAAUGUUUCACUCUUGCUACCAUUUCUGUCGAAUUACAGAGAAAUGUUGCUCCGGACACUGGGCCUUACCAGUUAAAUAAUAACAGUUAAUGAAUAGUUCAACAGCCCCAGUGCCCACACACAACAUCCUUGCCCAUGCGGUUGUCCCUUCUCCCUCUCGCCACUGCGCCAUGUGCAGAUCACCUGGAGGGGGCCCGAGCCUCCACCAAUGUGCAGGAUGGCAGCUGGGGCUCUGCAGCAAGGGCAGCUGCCUACGCACAAGGGUUGGGGAGCUCUGGGAGCUGUGGGACACCUCGUGGGGGGGGCAGAGGCCCGAGGCUUCCCGCCUGCAGUGAAAUAAGGAGACCUCUGGGUGACGCUGUGUUGUACUGGUGCCAGAUAGUGGCGAACUGGGGAGCUGUAAUGAGCUCUCUGUGGUUUCCUUGUUCCACUACAUUCCCCCCGCUUUCUCCAUGGCAUCGCAAAAGUGAAGGGCAUCAAACACACAAGCCACCGUCGCAUACCUGUGUUUUUCCAACCGCAACUUAAAUAAAUAUAUCUCAGUUGUACCAAUGAAAUUGAAAACAGAAGUGACAUAAAAAGAAUGUAAAUUAUUUUAAAUUGCAAUUUUUUAUAUGUUCACUUUUAUGGCCUCACUCUUUUAAAAUAAA